rnacentral:rRNA from 1 species
UACGUAGGUGGCAAGCGUUAUCCGGAUUUAUUGGGUUUAAAGGGCGCGUAGGCGGGCUCGUAAGUCAGACGUGAAAUACCGGGGCUCAACCCCGGGGCUGCGUUUGAAACUGCGAGUCUUGAGUGCCGGAGAGGAAAGCGGAAUUCCUAGUGUAGCGGUGAAAUGCGUAGAUAUUAGGAGGAACACCAGUGGCGAAGGCGGCUUUCUGGACGGUAACUGACGCUGAGGCGCGAAAGCGUGGGGAGCAAACAGG